CAAUAGCGUAUAUUAAAGUUGUUGCAGUUAAAAAGCUCGUAGUUGGAUUUCGGGGCAGCCUGGCUGGUCCGCCGCAAGGCGAGUACUGGUCAGCCGCCCUUCCUCUCGAAAGCCCCGACUGCUCUUCGUUGCAGUGGUCGGGUAGUUCGGGACGUUUACUUUGAAAAAAUUAGAGUGUUCAAGGCAGGCCUACGCCUGAAUACAUUAGCAUGGAAUAAUGGAAGAGGACCUCGGUCCUAUUUUGUUGGUUUCCAGGGCCGAAGUAAUGAUUAAGAGGGACAGUUGGGGGCAUUCGUAUUUAAUUGUCAGAGGUGAAAUUCUCGGAUUUAUGAAAGACGAACAACUGCGAAAGCAUUUGCCAAGGAUGUCUUCAUUAA
rnacentral:rRNA from 1 species